UACGGAGGAUGCAAGUGUUAUCCGGAAUCACUGGGCGUAAAGCGUCUGUAGGUGGUUUAAAAAGUCCACUGUUAAAAAUUGAAGCUUAACUUCAAAGAUGCAAUGGAAACUUUUAAACUUGAGUAUGGUAGGGGUAGAGGGAAUUUCCAGUGGAGCGGUGAAAUGCGUAGAUAUUGGAAAGACCACCAAUGGCGAAGGCACUCUACUGGGCCAUUACUGACACUGAGAGACGAAAGCUAGGGGAGCAAAUGGG
rnacentral:rRNA from 1 species